GCUGCAGGUGCUUGCUGCUACCUAAAGUAGCAUUUCAUUAGCAAGCAAGCCACCAACAAGUGUGAUUUUAUCACUUCAAGAUGACUUUGUGGAGAAAAUAAUGGUGUUUUUGACACUCUAUUGCUGCUGCUUGGGUACAGAAAGGUCUUCUGCCUUCAUUCACAUCAGCUGUGGGCCACACAGGUGCACUUGAAGCCAGAUGUAAGGCCAUGAUGUAGCAGCUUGGCACCAGGUCAGGAGGACACUCUUCCCAAAGGAGGAGCCAGGGGGGCAAGACUCACGCCAACUGAGCUAUGGCUCUGUCCAGAUGUCUCCUCAUCCUUUCCUGACAUGACUUGAUGACUCCCACUUCCUUGUUGCAAUGCAGGUCUGGUCUUAUGGACAGAGUGAGAACCACUUUUGAAGAUCCAUUCCUAUCAAUGGGGAGCCUCAUAGCCUGAUUCUACCUGGAACGCUGACCCUAACCUGCACCUUUUGCCGCUGACAUCGACUCCAAUUCACCAAUGCUAGGUUCGACUACAAAGAGUGUCGACGGUUAACACCCAUGAUUAAAGACCAUAAGGAUAACAUGAUGGAUUACAAGGAGAAUAUACGCCUCCUCAGACUAAACAAAGGAAGAAAUGAUUGUUGAUUAGUCUGGGAAUGAUUUUCACUGUUUGUUCAAAGGUGUAUUUAAGUGAUGCUACAUUAAAGGACUCAACAUAAGAGGUUCUCCUCAAGGAUCACUCUAGAAACAACAUGAACUGUAAUCCUAACCCUCCAAAAUUACAGCCCACUAAGCGCCAAAUUCUGGUUAAAAUCAGCCUUUGCCAAGUCAAUUUUGAGAAGAGUAACAAUAUAAUUGUACUUUUGGAAAAAGAGGCAUUUAAAGUAUGAUUGAUUGAUUGAUUAUACAUCAAUUUUGCACAGAAGGUCUUUAGAGAUCAUGUGAUAUGAAGAGUAAAAUUUGAAUCAAACGUUUUACGGCAUCAGUGAUUUUCCUAAUUUAACAGCUCAUAGUUUGUAUUUCAUAAAGUCCUUCACAGCUGUUUGAUUGUUUAUGUAAAAUAAAUACCAAUCUGU